rnacentral:rRNA from 1 species
GUCUAUAGCCAUACCACCCUGAAUGCACCCAAUCUCGUCUGAUCUUGGGAGCUAAGCAGGGUCAGGCCUGGUUAGUACUUGGGUGGGAGAUGGACAGCUUGGUGACUGCUGCCU